CAGGUAUAUGAAUGACCUAAAGGUACAAAUAAAGACGGAGAGAGAACAGUGCCAACUGGGAGCAGGGCAAGAAUGCCAAUUCCUCCUCCCCCGCCACCCCCACCUGGUCCUCCUCCACCUCCCACAUUUCAUCAGGCAAACACAGAGCAGCCCAAGCUGAGUAGAGAUGAGCAGCGGGGUCGAGGCGCCCUCUUACAGGACAUUUGCAAAGGGACCAAGCUGAAGAAGGUGACCAACAUUAAUGAUCGGAGUGCUCCCAUCCUCGAGAGUGAGUCUGAGCUUCAUUUCCUAGUGAACUGGCAGGAUCCCAGGAGUGACUUGGAGACUUGGCUGGGUUCUUAUUUUUAUUGGGGCUUGAGUGGGAGAGUUUUGUCCUGGGAUGUGCUUUGGCUCUCUUCUCAUUCAUUCUUCUGAACCUUAGAAGUUUCUUCUUGACUCU
rnacentral:sRNA from 1 species